GGCAGUCACAAGUGGUGCCGAAUGUAGGGUCAACACAGAACACAAGGAAGAGGGCGGUGACACAACAUAAGUAGCCUAGAAAUGGCGAUUGGAUUGUUCAGUGGAUAAAACGUAUAUUGGGGCUGGCAGCUUAUGUUCAUUCAUAUUGGUAUAAUUUGAAACCCCAGCCAUUCAAAGAAUUGAACACUAGAUCAAGUAGAAGUGUGACACGUUACACAAAGCAAGAAAAUUGGAGAAGUUUGGUAUAGGUGUCUCGCAGGUAUCUAAAACAGCCGCUAAACACACUCUGACCUAGCAAGAUGACUCACGCUGAAAUGUUUCUUGUAUUUGAGAAUGGGAAGAUGGUCAAACCUAGGUUGUAUCCCAGAGGUUUCUUCAAUGCCCGUUUGCCGCGAUGACACUUGUUUUUAAAGACAGAUGUCAAACGCAGACGGCGCAACCAAAGGGCAAGGAGUGUUGAGGCCCCUUCCCUCAAAGUAUUGGAUACAGUAUGAAUACUGUCGCGUGUAUGAAAGACUACAGACGGCGUUUGGACUGGUAGUUGAAUUCAUUGUCAACUUACAAAACAUAACAACCAGUAUUUACAGCGCUAUCGCUAAUUCACACGCUCAGCAGUUCACCGCAACAGGUACUAAGUCUUCUGAGACUGUCUUCACCAGCCGUUGCCAGGUAACGCCUUAACGGCACACGUUCAUCCUAAGGCGCGUCAACAUUAGCGAGCGUUAAACACGUCCAUAGUUGGCGAACAUAACUGCGAGUCGAACUUCGUUGCGAGCAAAAUACACGUACACGCAGCGGGAACCAUUGUCGGUUUCUGGCCGUCACAUCAAAGGAAGUUCGUGGUGUAAUUACACACUGCAGUGGACGGCGUGGCGAGCCGAACAUCAAACUGAAAGGCAUGGUCGCAGUAGUAUGAGUGCGAGUCCUGAUUCAGUUAGGACUGGAUAGAAAAGAAGUGUUUGUAAAUUGUAAGUGCUUCCGAAAAGCAAGAAAUGUUGUGGAAUGUUAAACACCCACAGCACUACAAGUUAAGGAGAUAUGAUGCGUGGGAAGAAGUGGCAGGAGAAAUGGGAGUAGAUGCCGAAACAUGCAGAAGGAAAAUUACGGCGUUCCUUGCAUCUCUACGAAGGGAAAAGGCGGAAAUGGAAAAAAAAAAAAAAAAGCAUAGCCACAGGAGAUUUCACUAGAGCAAGGAAACGAGAAAGACCUGGAGCAUGAAGAAGCAACAGCCCAGUAAGAGAGCCAGAGAAAUAGCAAUACAUCCAAUAUCCCGUCUUCCAAAAAAGCAGGUCCAUCACGAAAGAGAAAAGAAGACGAAUCUAGAAAUGUCAGUGUAGGUUUUGAGCUAUUGAAGUCAUGCACUUCAGCUGGUGAAAAUAAUAACGAAUCGCAAAAGUUCGGAAAUCUUAUUGGUACUAAGCCCAGAAAAUAUGACAAUAUGACUAGAAGCCUCAUACAAAUGAGAUAUUUGGAAUCUUCUUAAAUGCAGAGAGGGUUUGUAUAAGCAGGCACAGCAUCUUUCAGGUUUCAACAUCUGAACCCAACCACUAGGUCAAAAUGUUCCCUUGCAAACCAGCCACUCCACUGCCAGUUACAAUCCUCAAAGUCUAAAUGCACACCAGGCACAAGUAUGCUCGCAUUCCCCGACUCCUCAACAGCACAGCCCUCUCCAGCUUCCAUUCCUCUGUCGCUACCACUGCUGCUACACACCCCCCACUGCCUGACCUUUCCUCUGAUGAUAAGUUUUCUCUGCAAGAACUUAUUUAAUAUUGCUUUGUUUAACUUCAAACUGUUACUUUCAGUUUCCAUCAUUGCAUUUCAUUUUGGUGAAAUAAAGAAAAUAAAUAAUC